rnacentral:rRNA from 1 species
AGCAGCCGCGGUAAUUCCAGCUCCAAUAGCGUAUAUUAAAGUUGUUGCAGUUAAAAAGCUCGUAGUUGAAUUUCGGGGUUAGUAGGUUGGUCGUGCCACUGGUACGUACUGGUCUUGCUGAUUCCUCCCUCUUGACGAGCCGCGAUGCCAUUAAUUUGGUGUUGCGGGGAAUCAGGACUGUUACUUUGAAAAAUUAGAGUGUUUAAAGCAGGCAUGCGCUUGAAUACAUUAGCAUGGAAUAAUGAAAUAGGACGUUCGAUCUUAUUUUGUUGGUUUCUAGGGUUGACGUAAUGAUUAAUAGGGAUAGUUGGGGGCAUUAGUAUUCAAUUGUCAGAGGUGAAAUUCUUGGAUUUAUUGAAGACUAACUACUGCGAAAGCAUUUGCCAAGGAUGUUUUCAUUAAUCAAGAACGAAAGUUAGGGGAUCGAAGACGAUCAGAUACCGUCGUAGUCUUAACCAUAAACUAUGCCGACUAGGGAUCGGAUGAUGUUAAUUUUUAAUGUACUUCA